rnacentral:rRNA from 1 species
GGUUAAGUGACUAAGCGUACACGGUGGAUGCCUUGGCAGUCAGAGGCGAUGAAAGACGUAGUAACUUGCGAUAAGCCCAGAUUAGGUAGUAACAACCAUUUGAGUCUGGGAUUUCUGAAUGGGGAAACCCACUUACAUAAGUAAGUAUCAUUAACUGAAUACAUAGGUUAAUGAGGCGAACCGGGGGAACUGAAACAUCUAAGUACCCCGAGGAAAAGAAAUCAACCGAGAUUCCGAAAGUAGCGGCGAGCGAAAUUGGACUAGCCCUUAAGCUUUACACGCGUUAGACGAACGGUCUGGAAAGUCCGACGAUACAGGGUGAUAGUCCCGUAGUUGACGACGUGUGUUCAGUGAAAUCGAGUAGGGCGGGACACGUGAUAUCCUGUCUGAAUAUGGGGGGACCAUCCUCCAAGGCUAAAUACUACUGACUGACCGAUAGUGAACCAGUACCGUGAGGGAAAGGCGAAAAGAACCCCUGUGAGGGGAGUGAAAUAGAACCUGAAACCGUGUACGUACAAGCAGUAGGAGCAGGCUUUGUCCUGUGACUGCGUACCUUUUGUAUAAUGGGUCAGCGACUUAUAUUCAGUGGCAAGGUUAACCAUCUAGGGGAGCCGUAGGGAAACCGAGUCUUAACUGGGCGUUCAGUCUCUGGAUAUAGACCCGAAACCAGGUGAUCUAGCCAUGGGCAGGUUGAAGGUUGAGUAACAUCAACUGGAGGACCGAACCGACUAAUGUUGAAAAAUUAGCGGAUGACUUGUGGCUAGGGGUGAAAGGCCAAUCAAACCUGGAGAUAGCUGGUUCUCCCCGAAAGCUAUUUAGGUAGCGCCUCGGACGAAUACUACUGGGGGUAGAGCACUGUUAAGGCUAGGGGGUCAUCCCGACUUACCAACCCUUUGCAAACUCCGAAUACCAGUAAGUACUAUCCGGGAGACACACGGCGGGUGCUAACGUCCGUCGUGGAGAGGGAAAACCCACCCAGACCGCCAGCUAAGGUCCCAAAUUACUACUAAGUGGGAAACGAUGUGGGAAGGCUCAGACAGCCAGGAUGUUGGCUUAGAAGCAGCCAUCAUUUAAAGAAAGCGUAAUAGCUCACUGGUCGAGUCGGCCUGCGCGGAAGAUGUAACGGGGCUAAGUAGUAAACCGAAGCUGCGGCAAUGUGCUUUUGCACAUUGGGUAGGGGAGCGUUCUGUAAGCGGUUGAAGGUGUGUGGUAACGCAUGCUGGACGUAUCAGAAGUGCGAAUGCUGACAUGAGUAACGAUAAAGGGGGUGAAAAACCUCCUCGCCGGAAGACCAAGGGUUCCUGUCCAACGUUAAUCGGGGCAGGGUAAGUCGACCCCUAAGGCGAGGCCGAAAGGCGUAGUCGAUGGGAAACGGGUUAAUAUUCCCGUACUUCUUACAAUUGCGAUGGGGGGACGGAGAAGGCUAGGUGGGCCUGGCGACGGUUGUCCAGGUUCAAGUGCGUAGGCUUAAGAGUUAGGUAAAUCCGGCUCUUUUUAAGGCUGAGACACGACGUCGAGCACCUACGGGUGUGAAGUCAUUGAUGCCAUGCUUCCAGGAAAAGCCUCUAAGCUUCAGAUUGUAAGGAAUCGUACCCCAAACCGACACAGGUGGUCGGGUAGAGAAUACCAAGGCGCUUGAGAGAACUCGGGUGAAGGAACUAGGCAAAAUGGUACCGUAACUUCGGGAGAAGGUACGCUCUCGACGGUGAAGUCCCUCGCGGAUGGAGCUAUUGAGAGUCGCAGAUACCAGGUGGCUGCAACUGUUUAUUAAAAACACAGCACUGUGCAAAAUCGUAAGAUGACGUAUACGGUGUGACGCCUGCCCGGUGCCGGAAGGUUAAUUGAUGGGGUUAGACUUCGGUCGAAGCUCUUGAUCGAAGCCCCGGUAAACGGCGGCCGUAACUAUAACGGUCCUAAGGUAGCGAAAUUCCUUGUCGGGUAAGUUCCGACCUGCACGAAUGGCGUAAUGAUGGCCACGCUGUCUCCACCCGAGACUCAGUGAAAUUGAAAUCGCUGUGAAGAUGCAGUGUACCCGCGGCUAGACGGAAAGACCCCGUGAACCUUUACUACAGCUUGGCACUGAACAUUGACCCUACAUGUGUAGGAUAGGUGGGAGGCUUUGAAGCACGUACGCCAGUAUGUGUGGAGCCGUCCUUGAAAUACCACCCUUGUAGUGUUGAUGUUCUAACGUCGACCCCUUAUCGGGGUUGCGGACAGUGCCUGGUGGGUAGUUUGACUGGGGCGGUCUCCUCCCAAAGAGUAACGGAGGAGCACGAAGGUGGGCUAAUCACGGUUGGACAUCGUGAGGUUAGUGCAAUGGCAUAAGCCCGCUUGACUGCGAGAAUGACAAUUCGAGCAGGUGCGAAAGCAGGUCAUAGUGAUCCGGUGGUUCUGAAUGGAAGGGCCAUCGCUCAACGGAUAAAAGGUACUCCGGGGAUAACAGGCUGAUACCGCCCAAGAGUUCAUAUCGACGGCGGUGUUUGGCACCUCGAUGUCGGCUCAUCACAUCCUGGGGCUGAAGUCGGUCCCAAGGGUAUGGCUGUUCGCCAUUUAAAGUGGUACGCGAGCUGGGUUUAGAACGUCGUGAGACAGUUCGGUCCCUAUCUGCCGUGGGCGUUGGAAGAUUGAAGGGGGCUGCUCCUAGUACGAGAGGACCGGAGUGGACGAACCUCUGGUGUUCGGGUUGUGUCGCCAGACGCAUUGCCCGGUAGCUAAGUUCGGAAUCGAUAACCGCUGAAAGCAUCUAAGCGGGAAGCGAGCCCUGAGAUGAGUCUUCCCUGAUACUUUAAGUAUCCUAAAGGGUUGUCGGAGACUACGACGUUGAUAGGUCAGGUGUGUAAGUGCUGUGAGGCAUUGAGCUAACUGAUACUAAUUGCCCGUGAGGCUUAACCAU